rnacentral:rRNA from 1 species
GUGCAGCAGGCGAGAAAACUUCACACUGUGCGAAAGCACGAUGAGGGAAUCCCAAGUGCUUGCACGUAAGUGUAAGCUGUUUCUCUGUCUAAAACGCAGAGAGAGUAAGGGCUGGGUAAGACGGGUGCCAGCCGCCGCGGUAAUACCUGCAGCUCAAGUGGUGACCGUUAUUAUUGGGCCUAAAACGUCCGUAGCCGGUUUAAUAAAUGCCUGGGUAAAUUGUGUAGCUUAACUAUACGAAUUCCGGGUAGACUGUUAAACUUGAGACCGGGAGAAGUUAGAGGUACUCCUGGGGUAGAGGUGAAAUUCUGUAAUCCUAGGGGGACCACCAGUGGCGAAGGCGUCUAACUAGAACGGGUCUGACGGUGAGGGACGAAGCCCUGGGGCGCAAACGGGAUUAGAUACCCCGUAGU